UCGCAUUUAAAAAUUUAACGA
ensembl:piRNA 21ur-2508 ncRNA